rnacentral:rRNA from 1 species
AUACGGAGGGUGCAAGCGUUACUCGGAAUCACUGGGCGUAAAGCGCGCGCAGGCGGCUUGAUAAGUUGGAUGUGAAAGCCUACGGCGCAACCGUAGAACUGCAUCCAAAACUGUCAAGCUAGAGUCUGGGAGGGGAAGAUGGAAUUAGUUGUGUAGGGGUAAAAUCCGUAGAGAUAACUAGGAAUACCAAAAGCGAAGGCGAUCUUCUGGAACAGUACUGACGCUGAGGCGCGAAAGCGUGGGGAGCAAACAGGAUUAGAAACCCUAGUAGUCC